rnacentral:rRNA from 1 species
AGUCGAACGCAGUAGCAAUACUGAGUGGCAAACGGGUGAGUAUAAUGUGGGAAUCUGCCUUUUGGUUCGGAACAACACGGGGAAACCUGUGCUAAUACCGGAUAAGUCCUAACGGAGAAAGUUUUAAUGCCAAAAGAUGAGCCCGCAUUUGAUUAGCUAGUUGGUAAGGUAAAAGCUUACCAAGGCGACAAUCAAUAGCUGAUUUGAGAGGAUGAUCAGCCACACUGGGACUGAGACACGGCCCAAACUCC